UACGAAGGGGGCUAGCGUUGCUCGGAAUUACUGGGAGUAAAGCGCACGUAGGCGGUCUUUUAAGUCGGGGGUGAAAUCCUGGAGCUCAACUCCAGAACUGCCUUCGAUACUGGAAGACUUGAGUCCGGGAGAGGUGAGUGGAACUGCGAGUGUAGGGGUGAAAUUCGUAGAUAUUCGCAAGAACACCAGUGGCGAAGGCGGCUCACUGGCCCGGUACUGACGCUGAGGUGCGAAAGCGUGGGGAGCAAACAGG
rnacentral:rRNA from 1 species